rnacentral:misc_RNA from 1 species
GAUGAAGAACGUAUCGAAAUGCGAUAAGUAAUGUGAAUUGCAGAAUCCAGUGAAUCAUCGAAUCUUUGAACGCACAUUGCGCCCGCCAGCAUUCUGGCGGGCAUGCCUGUUCGAGCGUCAUUUCAACCCUCGACCUCCCUUUGGGGAAGUCGGCGUUGGGGACCGGCAGCACACCGCCGGCCCUGAAAUGGAGUGGCGGCCCGUCCGCGGCGACCUCUGCGUAGUAAACCAACUCGCACCGGAACCCCGACGUGGCCACGCCGUAAAACACCCAACUUCUGAACGUUGACCUCGAAUCAGGUAGGACUACCCGCUGAACUUAAGCAUAUCAAUAAGCGGAGGA